rnacentral:rRNA from 1 species
GACAGAGGGUGCAAACGUUGUUCGGAAUUACUGGGCGUAAAGCGCGUGUAGGCGGCUUGGCAAGUCGGGUGUGAAAGCCCUGGGCUUAACCUAGGAAGUGCACUCGAAACUGCCGAGCUUGAGUUCUGGAGAGGAAGGCGGAAUUCUCGGUGUAGAGGUGAAAUUCGUAGAUAUCGAGAGGAACACCGGUGGCGAAGGCGGCUUUCUGGACAGCAACUGACGCUGAGACGCGAAAGCGUGGGGAGCAAACAGG